AACGCAUAUUGCGCCCGCUGGUAUUCCGGCGGGCAUGCCUGUUCGAGCGUCAUUAUGACCAAUCAAGCUCUGCUUGGUUUUGAGGUCCGCUACACCAACGGCGGCCUUUAAAAUCAGUGACGGUGCCGUCUGGCUCUAAGCGUAGUAAUACUUCUCGCUAUAGAGUUUAGUCGUCCACCUGUUAGAAUCUUCAACUUUCUUAGGUUGACCUCGGAUCAGGUAGGGAUAACCCGCUGAACUUAA
rnacentral:misc_RNA from 1 species